CGCUAAGGCGUCGAAGUAGUGGAUGUCAUACUUCCAAGAAAAGCUUGCACUGUCAUAAAUAAAAACGCCUGUACCAUAACCGACACAGGUGGGUAGGUAGAGUAUACUAAGGGGCGCGAGAUAACUCUCUCUAAGGAACUCGGCAAAAUAACUCCGUAACUUCGGGAGAAGGAGUGCCUUAUUCGUAAGGCUGCAAUAACAAGAUCCAAGCAACUGUUUAUCAAAAACACAGGUCUCCGCUAAGUCGUAAGACGAUGUAUGGGGGCUGACGCCUGCACAGUGCCAGAAGGUUAAAGAAGUCGGUUAGCAUUAGCGAAGCUGGUAACUGAAGCCCUGGUGAACGGCGGCCGUAACAAUAACGGUCCUAAGGUAGCGAAAUUCCUUGUCGGGUAAGUUCCGACCCGCACGAAAGGCGUAAUGAUUUGGAUACUGUCUCGGAGAGGGGCUCGGUGAAAUAGACUUGUCUGUGAAGAUGCGGACUACCUGCACCAGGACAGAAAGACCCUAUGAAGCUUUACUGUAACUUGAAAUUGAAAUUGGACUUUAUUCGCGCAGUAUAGGUGGGAGGUGUUGAUUAUAAUCUUGCGGGAUUAUUGGAGCCAUCAGUGAGAUACCACUCUUGUAAUGUUAGAUUUCUAACUUUGAAUCAUUAUCUGGUCAAAGAACAGUUUCAGGCGGGCAGUUUGACUGGGGCGGUCGCCUCCUAAAUGGUAACGGAGGCGUACAAAGGUUUCCUCUGAACGGGUAGAAAUCGUAUCUAGAGUGUAAAGGCAUAAGGAAGCUUGACUGUGAGACCUACAAGUCGAGCAGGGACGAAAGUCGGUCUUAGUGAUCUGACGGUACUGAGUGGAAAGGCCGUCACUCAACGGAUAAAAGUUACUCUAGGAUAACAGGCUGAUCUCCCCCAAGAGUUCACAUCGACGGGGAGGUUUGGCACCUCGAUGUCGGCUCAUCGCAUCCUGGGGCGGUAGUACGUCCCAAGGGUUGGGCUGUUCGACCAUGAAAGCGGUACGCGAGCUGGGUUCAGAACGUCGUGAGACAGUUCGGUCCAUAUCCGGUGUAGGCGUUAGAAUAUUGAGAGGAGCCUUCUUUAGUACGAGAGGACCGAGAAGGACAUACCUCUGGUGUACCAGUUAUCGUGCCAACGGUAAACGCUGGGUAGCUAUGUAUGGAGUGGAUAACCGCUGAAAGCAUCUAAGUGGGAAGCCCACCUCAAGAUAAGUAUUCUCAU
rnacentral:rRNA from 1 species